rnacentral:tRNA from 1 species
GUCUCUGUAAUUGGUUAACGCGUUCAGCUGUUAACCGAAAGGUUGGUGGUUCAAGCCCACCCAGGGAUG